rnacentral:rRNA from 1 species
AUUGAACGCUGGCGGCAUGCCUUACACAUGCAAGUCGAACGGUAACAGGUCUUCGGAUGCUGACGAGUGGCGAACGGGUGAGUAAUACAUCGGAACGUGCCCGAGAGUGGGGGAUAACGAGGCGAAAGCUUUGCUAAUACCGCAUACGAUCUCAGGAUGAAAGCAGGGGACCGCAAGGCCUUGCGCUCACGGAGCGGCCGAUGGCAGAUUAGGUAGUUGGUGGGAUAAAAGCUUACCAAGCCGACGAUCUGUAGCUGGUCUGAGAGGACGACCAGCCACACUGGGACUGAGACACGGCCCAGACUCCUACGGGGGGCAGCAGUGGGGAAUUUUGGACAAUGGGCGCAAGCCUGAUCCAGCCAUGCCGCGUGCAGGACGAAGGCCUUCGGGUUGUAAACUGCUUUUGUACGGAACGAAAAGACUCCUUCUAAUAAAGGGGGUCCAUGACGGUACCGUAAGAAUAAGCACCGGCUAACUACGUGCCAGCAGCCGCGGUAAUAC